rnacentral:rRNA from 1 species
UUCACACAUUAUUAAAAGUGAGACUGCGGAAGGCUCAGUAAAUCGGUGAUAGUCUAUUCGAAAGUGACCGAUUGGAUAACCGUGGGAAAUCUAGAGCUAAUACAUGUGUUAAAGGUAGUUGCUGGCAACGGUAAUUACUAGCAUUUAUUAGACAAAACCAAAUGCUGGCUGGUUGACUGAGCCAGUCAGCAGGGUGAAUCUAGAUAACUGAGCUGAUCGCAUGGCCUUGAGCCGGCGAUGUUUCGAUUGAAUUUCCGCCCUAUCAACUUGUUGGUAAGGUAGUGGCUUACCAAGGUUGCAACGGGUAACGGGGAAUCAGGGUUCGAUUCCGGAGAGGCAGCCUGAGAAACGGCUACCACAUCCAAGGAAGGCAGCAGGCGCGUAAAUUACCCAAUCCAGACAAUGGGAGGUGGUGACCAGAAGUACUGAGUUGUGGGCUAUGCCUACUAAUCUCGGAAUGAGCAUAAAGUAAAAAUGUGGUCGAGUAACAACUGGAGGGCAAGUCUGGUGCCAGCAGCCGCGGUAAUUCCAGCUCCAGUAGCAUGUCGUAAAGUUGUUGCGUUUAAAACGCUCGUAGUUGGAUCAUAUGGCGUCGGCCAGUUAAUUUGUGGGUGUAGGACAGUAACUCACCCGGCUACGUGGUGCCGAUUAAGUUUGGUGUCGCUGUGUUGGUGUGAAGUCUGCAUCACUAAUUUUGUGCUGGACGGCGCUACUUGCAUGUGAGAAUGGCGAUUGGCCUUCAAUGAGUCGGUCGUUGUAUCUUACAGAGUGUGCCUUGAAUAAAUCAGAGUGCUUAAAGCAGGCUAGUGCCUGAAUGAUACAGCAUGGAACGAACAAAAGUGGUUCGUGAACCGGUGGGACGGAGACUACCACUGGUUCAUAUCACCAACCGCUGUGUACGGAUGUUGGUUUCCGUAUCAGGGUGAUGAUUAAAACGAGCGGUUGGGGGCAUUGGUAUUUGGCCGCGAGAGGUGAAAUUCUUAGACCGGCCAAGGACCAACAAAAGCGAAGGCAUUUGCCAAGACCGUUUCGAUUGAUCAAGAACGAUAGUGAGAGGUUCGAAGACGAUCAGAUACCGUCCUAGUUCUCACCGUAAACUAUGCCAACCCGGGAUCAGUUCUGAGCUCUUUACAUGCUCUAGGUUGGUCCCCCUGGGAAACCUAAAGUUUUUGGGUUACGGGGGGAGUAUGGUCGCAAGGCUGAAACUUAAAGGAAUUGACGGAAGGGCACCACCAGGGGUGGAGCCUGCGGCUUAAUUUGACUCAACACGGGGAAACUUACCGGUUCCAGCCGUCAAAAGGAUUGACAGACUGAUAGAUCUUUCAUGAUAUGAUGUAUGGUGGUGCAUGGCCGUUCUUAGUUCGUGAGGUGACUUGUCAGGUUGAUUCCGGUAACGAACGAGACCAAAGUCUCCAUUUACAAUACGGAACAGUCGGUGACUACGGUUGCUGGCUCCUUUGAUGAGUGAGAGUUUGGGUAAAACUAAACUUGCAUUUGGCAAAUUAUUUCCGUAGUGCUGCUACCGGUCAAACGGAAGCAGUUGCAUGGAGAGACAACCGACACAAAAUCGGAGGAAGUUUGGCGAUAACAGGUCUGUGAUGCCCUUAGACGUACCGGGCUGCACGCGCGCUACAAUGACGGUGACAACGAGUUAUCUGGUCCGAAAGGAUUGGGAAAUCUGUCAAUCACCGUCGUGAUGGGGAUUGUCCUUUGUAAUUAGGACAUGAAAUAGGAAUCCCUUGUACGUGCACUUCAUCUAAAGUGCGUGGAAUGAGUCCCUGCCCUUUGUACACACCGCCCGUCGCUACUACCGAGUGAAUGGUGUCAUGAUGCGUUGGGACCGGACACCGUUCGGGGUUAUACCUGAAUGGUGCUGGAAUCAAUGUAGAAU